GCUCUACCAUCUGAGCUACAUCCCCAUUC
rnacentral:sRNA from 1 species